rnacentral:lncRNA from 1 species
UUUGUAUGGAGCAGCUUGUAAUAUUAUCUCUUAAUUUAGAACUUAAGUUAUUUUUGUCAACAAAUCAGGCAGUUGUCCAAAAAAGAAAAAAAAAAAAAAAAGAAGGCUAACUGAUGUUGGUUUAGACUGUACUCUAAACAAAACAGUUCUAAGUUAGAAGCAGGAGGGGAGGACAUCUGCCAGACUGAACUGGGAAAGAGAACAUAUCAUAGAAGAAUGAGACAUUCCCUGCAUUUUUGUUGCCAAAAAUCUCAGCUCAACCUUUUAAGGCCCACACAAUUACCUCUGUAAUCUGCAUUAAGAAGCAAACUCAGAAAUGGAGCACAUAGCAAAAAAUUGCAGUAUAUUUACUUCUGUUGCUCCAUUACCUCCUAGAAUUUCUGUGGACUUUUUAAAAAAUUUUAUUUAUCUAUUCAUGAGAAACAGAGACAGAGAGAGGCAGACACACAGGCAGAGGGAGAAGCAGCUCCAUGCAGGGAGCUUGAUGUGGGACUCAAUCCUGGGUCCCCAGGAUCACACCCUGGGCUGAAGGCGGCACUAAACCGCUGAGCCACCGGGGCUGCCCAAUUUCUGUGGAUAUUAAAAUGACUGGAAAAGGCUAGAACGCACUUGAGUUAUAUACUGGGUGAAAGGCUAAACACCACAAUUCCAACCCCAUUCCAACUGGAGUCCUGCUAAGAAGAAACAGGAAUAAAAAUUAAAGAGUAAAAAGGAGGGUUAUAAUAUAUAAGUUAUUAAAGUUUUUAUUAUGGUAAUGCCAUUUGUGUAACUAGUUAUAGACUUUAGAUAAGCCCAGACUUUCAUGUUUUCAGCCAUUAACCCAGGAGAGGCUCCUUCUGUUAACCAAAAACCAAAACUCUUUAGCUGAAAAAAAUUUAAGUGCUCUAUACUUACGGCAUAUAAAGGAUUUUGAAGGAAAAAAGUUUUAGAACUGUUGGAUUGCUUCUGGAAAUUUCCAAUGAUAAAACUGAGACCUAAAAGUCAUCUUGCUCAUUCCAUUCUCAAUGUAGACAUUUCUUCAAUGCUACUAAAAUGAUUUAGCCUCCAUGCGUACUUUUCCCACAAAAUGCUGAUUAUUCUAAUUAUCGGACAAACCUGUUGGAGAAUUAAUUUAUACAGAAUCACUGGCAAGUGUAUACUGCACCUCCCUGUUAAGUUCUGCCCCACAGAACAGGGGCAGACAUAACCCAUCCUCAGGAAUACAGAGUGACUAAUCCUGUUUCUUGGCAACACUUUAAUUAAAGGCUUUAAUCAUAUCUCCCAUCUUUUAGGAAAAUAGGUAACAGAGUCUAUGCUGCUUGACGUCUUACUGUUGCUUUUAUAGCACCACCAUGGGCAGUGAGAAGGCAACUAUUUUUAAAUAUGAAAGUUACCUUUCAGAAAAAUACACAUAAAACACUGUGAGAGGGCACAUUAGAGGGUUUCUGAUACUUCGAAUCCCAUAGAGCAACCUGUACAACUAGGGAAAGUGCUUUAGAAGCUGCUGAAUGAAUGACAGAAAGCCAAAGGCUUGGGUAUAGACCAUGUGCCAGUAGGGUGUGAGUUAAAGAAGAUGCUAUUUCUUCCAGGUAGACUUGAAGAAUCAGCCUGAGAGGGGCACAAAUUAAGAGGAUUUAUGUAACCCUACCGAUAUGCGAUUACCACUGGGUGAGGGGCAGAGUAGUUCUCUUGGCAUCUUAGUUUGCCUUGCUUGCAAUGUCCCUGAUUAAAGAGGCAGACAUCACAUUGCUGGGAAAACACUGAUGAGCCACUAACCCUGUUUACAGUAGAGGGAAAAAUCACUGCUUGGUCAAAAACAUGCAAUAAUGAAAAACUUCAGGAAUUUCUUCUCCUAAGAUUAGAAUUUAUUACAUUUAUUUUUAUUUUUUUAAGACCUGGGGUAGGCUCUUCACGUUUAAACAAACUCUGGACUAGUCUUUUAGUUACUUCAGCAAGCUAAGGGCAUCUGGAAGGACAUCUCAGUCAUUUGAGUUGACAUUAGAGAGAAACUGGUCAUUCAGGAGCCCAGAUUCUGACAGUCAUAGGAGGAGCAGGACCACUGCUAGAGCAGAGGCAGCACUCCUGUCGUCUAAGUUUCCUAGAACAUUGGUUCACAGCCUGCUUUGCAGUCCUGUCACCCAUGACAGCUAAUGUUCACCUGCAGCCUCGCUCUAACUACACCUUUUCAUUCAAGAAAAGUUCGUCAGAAUUUGAGUGAAAGGAGAGGACAGUCACAAGAUAACCUGUAUGAGUGGAUACAUUUGAAAGGUUAGGGGUCACAAGCUAGCUGCAAAUCAGUCACUGCGCACCCCUCAAAUGAUUCUGCUGCUCUGGCAUGUGGCAGCAUUAGCAUUCAGACCUGCUGCUCUAUAGAGCAAUCGGUAGUUUCCAUUGAGUCAAGAUUCCUUGUUUACUGAGAUGGUUUCAAAACAGAAUAGCUCUUCUCCUCCUGAGUAUUUCUUACACUGUCCCUCCUACUAUGGAGGAAGUGAAUCUGGCUCAAGUCAGAGUAAGCAACAUCACUCUUGUUACUCUAACAAACAUUUCAUGAAAGCAGCUUUUUAUUAGAGUAGCAUAAUCCUCCUUGGUUCCUGGAGGGAUCACAGAUUCACAGAAUGUUACAGCUGGAAAGGGCUUAAGAGCAUCUAGCAGAAUGCCCUCAUUUCAUAAAUGAGAAAAUCAGGCUGAGAAGACACUUGCCCCUGAUUGCACAGCCAGUAAGGAGCAGAGCUGGGAACAAAAUCAGGUCUCCUGAUUCCAAGUCAGUCCUGUACAGAUUACAGUACAACCUAGUAAGGAAGAAGAGGAACCACAAGUUGAGAAGAUAGGAAAAUAGUGAUAUUUAAGAAGUUCAAAGUAAAAAUAAACAGAGGCCGACAGUUUAAAAAAGCAAAGAGCGAAUGGCUUGGUGGUACAAAACAGCUAAAGCGAUGCGACUGCCUAUGGGAGAAAAAGCUAAGAUUGAAAACUAGUAUGCAAUUCAACUUUCUGGCAAAAAGGAAAGAUAUGUGAGUCUAGAGCCCCUGAAAUGCACAAUAACUAAGAAAAAGAUAUUUUCAUUUAAAUGAUGCAAGUUAUCCAGUAUGCGACUGGUACUCACUAAAUUGAGAGGACAGAAUCUGAUAGCCUAGGUAAGGAAAUCUGAAAGCACAAAGAAAAAAAAGAACUUCAGUCCUUUACAUUCUAGGAGAGUAUUAAAUCCUUUGUUUACAUAAAGCUUUUCCUAUCAGAAAUUCAAGAGAACUUUUUGGCUGAAAUAAUCACUUGUAUAAAACAAGGAAAACACUAAAGCUUUAGAGUAUAAGCAUUUGUGCACAUUUGACUUACUCCCAAAAGCACUCUUCCCUUCUUAAGAUACACUGUGCCUUGGUAGAAGAGAUAUAAAAAAAUAAAAAAAUAAAAAAAUUAACAGAAAAGUAGCAAUCUUUGGUUUCCUCAUCAACUAAGUACUUUGCUGAAAGAAGAUAUUCCCAAAGGAAAUUUUCCUUUGUCCAUGUGCACAUGACUAUGACAAGACUGCUAGGCUUUUGAGUCUUUUUAUGCUAGAAAAGUAAUAUUAUCUGGCACUUGUAAACAGAUGGUAAAUGACUAAAUGUAUGAACUUUUAGUUAUGAAGAAAGUGGUUAAUUACACCAAGACUGUGUGUUUAUGUGUAUGAAAUCACUAAGUAUCCUGCCUCUAUACAUAUACUCCUUAACAAACACAUUUUUAAAACUUUAAACAAAGUUUUUAGGUUCACUAAACCACGUUAUACAAAUUCUGUGGUCUGAGAAGCUGUUGUCAAUAUUAUAACUGGAUAUUAUAUAUAAUUUUGGCAUAUCAAAAAUAUUUACAAUGCAUCGACAUAUGGUGAAUGAAUACAAAAAUUAUUUAUAAAUGUACAUAUAUUUACAAUGGGAUCCCUGGGUGACAGGGAUAAAAAAAAAAAUAAUCAUUCACAAGAAUACAAAACCCCUUAAUGUGGUAACAGUUGAUCAAGCCCAGAAUUCUUGUCAAAGACCUUGAAUAUCAAAGCGCCAGUCUCAAUUAGAUGCUUAAAACCACUGAAGAAUCCCAGACACACUUCCCAGAGGGCUCCAGAGUUAUUUCUGUUCCUUGGAAGACACUAGAACAGUGAUGUUUUCUCAGAAUCAUUCUGCAGGUUGAGACAACCCAGCAUGUUAAGCAGCAAUAAAGACUCUCCCUAAUAGGC